CUCCUUAAAAAAAUGUGUCACUGUACAGCUGGAAGAUAAUGUUUCACAUUCACAACAGAAGCACCAAAGGUUUUUUUUCCUCUUAACAAGCAUCGAGAAUAAUAGUUUUUUAUAGAUAUAUAUAAAAAAAAGAGAGAGCUUAGAGAAAAAAGUUUUCCCAACUUCUCAUUCCGCCUUCAGUUCCAGACUUCAGAGUCACCGUGAUCAGCGACCUUUUUCCGGACAGUUUUUCCCAUUGAUAGUCGCAGCAAACGGAGCUACAAGGUGGAAACCUUAAAGUCAAAGAUGUACUCUGAAUUUCACUGAAAGCAUCAUGAUCCCAAGCAUUAAAGAUCCAACACUACUGUAAUUUCCACAUGACAAUUACAAUUUGAGGAUGUGUCUUCAGAGUCAAGUGGACAUAGAAAGUGGAUUACUGGUAGCAAAAGACAGCUUAUGAUGUAAACACUCAGUGAUGACUUUGCGGGUCAAUAAAAAUAUUUAUGUCACAUGUGUUAAGUAAUGUCUAUUGACUCAUGUUUGAGCUUCCAAUAUAUUUAGUUCUUUUUAAAAAUGGC